GAUGAACGCUGGCGGCGUGCUUAACACAUGCAAGUCGAACGGAAAGGCCCAAGCUUGCUUGGGUACUCGAGUGGCGAACGGGUGAGUAACACGUGGGUGAUCUGCCCUGCACUUCGGGAUAAGCCUGGGAAACUGGGUCUAAUACUGGAUAGGACCACUUCUUGGAUGUUGUGGUGGAAAGUUUUUUCGGUGUGGGAUGAGCUCGCGGCCUAUCAGCUUGUUGGUGGGGUAAUGGCCUACCAAGGCGUCGACGGGUAGCCGGCCUGAGAGGGUGUACGGCCACAUUGGGACUGAGAUACGGCCCAGACUCCUACGGGAGGCAGCAGUGGGGAAUAUUGCACAAUGGGCGCAAGCCUGAUGCAGCGACGCCGCGUGGGGGAUGACGGCCUUCGGGUUGUAAACUCAUUUCGCUAGGGACGAAGCGUUUUGUGACGGUACCUGGAGAAGAAGCACCGGCUAACUACGUG
rnacentral:rRNA from 1 species